GGUGGCUUAGUGGUAGAGCACUUGCCUCGAAUGCAUGAGGCACUGGGUUUGAUUCCCCAGCACCA
rnacentral:tRNA from 1 species